UGCCAGCCGCCGCGGUAAUACGAAGGGCCCGAGCGUUAAUCGGAAUCACUGGGCUUAAAGGGUGUGUAGGCUGUUUUGUAAGUAUCUUGUGAAAUCCCAAGGCUCAACCUUGGAACUGCUGGGUAUACUGCAAAACUUGAGGUCGGUAGGGGCAGCUGGAACAAUAGGUGGAGCGGUGAAAUGCGUAGAUAUCUAUUGGAACGCCAAAGGCGAAGGCAAGCUGCUGGGCCGAAUCUGACGCUGAGACACGAAAGCGUGGGGAGCAAACAGGAUUAGAUA
rnacentral:rRNA from 1 species